rnacentral:rRNA from 1 species
AACGAACGCUGGCGGCAUGCCUAACACAUGCAAGUCGAACGAGACCUUCGGGUCUAGUGGCGCACGGGUGCGUAACGCGUGGGAACCUGCCCUUAGGUUCGGAAUAACUCCCCGAAAGGGGUGCUAAUACCGGAGAAUGUCUUCGGACCAAAGAUUUAUCGCCUUUGGAUGGGCCCGCGUUGGAUUAGCUGGUUGGGAGGGUAAUAGCCUGCCAAGGCGACGAUCCAUAGCUGGUCGGAGAGGAUGAUCAGCCAGACUUGGACUGAGACACGGCCCAGACUCCUACGGGAGGCAGCAGAGGGGAAUAUUAGAGGAGGGGGGAAGGUGUGACAACGCAGCGUGGGGUGAGAGGGGAAGGCGUUAGGGUUGUAAAGUCGUUUUACCCGAGACGAGAAUGACGGUACCGGGAGAAUAAGCACCGGCUAACUACGUG